GACGAACGCUGGCGGCGUGCUUAACACAUGCAAGUCGAACGGAAAGGCCCUGCUUGCAGGGUGCUCGAGUGGCGAACGGGUGAGUAACACGUGGGUGAUCUGCCCCUGACUUUGGGAUAAGCCUGGGAAACUGGGUCUAAUACCGGAUAUGACCAUGGGAUGCAUGUUCUGUGGUGGAAAGCUUUUGCGGUUGGGGAUGGGCCCGCGGCCUAUCAGCUUGUUGGUGGGGUAAUGGCCUACCAAGGCGACGACGGGUAGCCGACCUGAGAGGGUGAUCGGCCACACUGGGACUGAGACACGGCCCAGACUCCUACGGGAGGCAGCAGUGGGGAAUAUUGCACAAUGGGCGCAAGCCUGAUGCAGCGACGCCGCGUGAGGGAUGACGGCCUUCGGGUUGUAAACCUCUUUCAGCAGGGACGAAGCGCAAGUGACGGUACCUGCAGAAGAAGCACCGGCCAACUACGUGCCAGCAGCCGCCGCGGUAA
rnacentral:rRNA from 1 species